rnacentral:snoRNA from 17 species
CAGUGAUUAUCUCUGCGUCUUCCACCUAACGAAACUUGAUGAUUAUGAUACGAUGCGAGCUGCACAGAAAUAUACUACACCAACGAGAAGGAAUGAGGC